UUCCCCCACUGCCUCUAUCGUUAUGACACUCUUCCUUUCCAGCAUUUUCUUUAUGUCUCAAUAGCCAGAGUCAGCCCUCAUCUCCUCAUUUCCCUUUGUUCCUGCCCAGAGGAAUCACAUAGACUGAAGAAAAGGAAACUCUCAGAGAAAAAUAAAAAGGUCACCAGAGCUAACAAAUGGGAGAACUGGGAUGUUAAGCCAAGAUCUGUCUGCCUCCGGACCCCAGCUUCAGAAAAGAGAUGAGCUUCAGAGACAUUGGAAAAGAACUCUGCUUGAGAAAGAAGAUCGUCCACCAGCAGGAAGACAAGCAUAGACAGUGGGCUACAGAAAAAAGUGUCUGUUCUGAGGAACAAUAGAAUGAACUGAAUGGAUAAAACAAGUUUUAUGGACAACUCAGACGUCAGGUAUGAUGUGUUUUUUCCUGUACUGACGGGGUUCAAACCAUGCUACUCCAAAAUAUGGCACCUUGGCAUUUGAGGAAACAGCAGAAUCAGGAAGACUGCUUUCACUUUCUCCUUGCCUUUCUUCCCUGAAGCAAUUCAUAAGACCUACAUUUGAGAGGUGCCAUUCCUAUACCCAGAGGAAAGGAAUAUCUUUAUCUUUGAAGACAUAGGUACACGGAGAAGAAUCUACAAAAGCAAGACUAGCUAACCCCCACCCCCAACCUGUUAGUUAUUGUCUAAUCAUAUUUCUUCAUGACCAUUCACUUUUUAAAAUCAAAAAUAACAUAAAAAAUAUACAGGUUUACUUACUUCUUUAGGUUCUCAUUUCCUUACAAAGGCUUCUGUGUCACAUAAAGCUUAUAUUAAAUAAAUUUUUAUGCUUUUGUCUUGUUAAUCUGUAUUUUAUUAUAGGGGCAUCAGCCAUGCAUCUUGCAAUGAAUGAGAAAAAAAUCUUUCCUCCACUAUGGUUCUCAUUUACGACUGUCUGAUACAUAGUAAAUGCUCACUAAGUCACUUUCUUAUUCUGCCACAAGUGAUUAGACAGUCAUGUGAUAAGGUGGAAAUAUUAUAUCUUCGUUGUUUAAGGGUAUGAAUUAAUACCAGGGGGCAGAAGGGGACCAUUUCCUAGAUGCUUUUCCCAUUGAUAUUCUAGUCAGGUCAGCUACCCUGCUAAAAUGUCUUAAAUUCCCCCUUUUUAUCUUUCUCUUGUCACUUAUUUCAGGUCUUCAGCAUCUGUCUCUUGUACUUCGGCAUUCUCUCUGCCCAUUGGUAUCAUUUUCCAUUCAUACUCCUGUUACUAAAUUGGCUCUAAACAUGUACAGUAUGCACAGACAGACAUUUGAUUGUGGUACUCCUCCACUUAAAAUUCUUUUAUAUUCCCAACUAACAAUCGAAUUUCCUUUAAACCAAGGGCACCAGGAAGAGGUAAAAGGGAGCUAACCAAAGCGGUCUUUUGAGCCUCUCACUGCCACUCAACUCUAACAAUUCUGCUUUGCAUAUUUUAUAUAUUAGGCCCAGCUAAAAUUACAUUUAAAGAGAAAGCAUUAGUCAACAAUCACCUUAAUAAUGCUAUGUAAUAAGCAUCUUUCAAAGUCUUACAAUGACAAACAUUUUCUUUGUUCAUAGGUUUUAGGAUUUGCUGAGGUGGUUUUGUGACAGGUAGUUCAGAUUUUCUUCACAUGUUUUUUGGUAUGAGUGGCCUUUUGUGACUUGCUGUCCCUAUGAAGCAUGCAGAUGUCCUAGAGACAGAUCAAAUAAUACAAGUACAUUUCAAAGUUUGCUCAUAUCCUAUCUGUCCAAAUGACAUUGGCCUAUGACAAUCAGUCAAGAAGCAUACUAAACCCAUAGUGAAACCAUGGCAAGGGCACAGAGGUCAUGGGAGAUCAUGAAUAAAUAAUACUAUCUGCUCCAUAAAGCGUCUGCUGUUCUAAACAAAAUUUUAAAACAGUUGAUCUGCCAAGUAAAUAGAAAACCUCAAGGGAAGAGUAAAAACCUUCAUGACUUCUUAUUUACCUUUCAGUUUAUUUCAGGACACUCACUGCUAUAUCUUAGUAUCUUGCAGCAAAAGAAUCCUAACAGCUUCCUCUGCAUAUAUCUUUUCUCCUGUUUUGAAUGCUCUACCUCCUCUGCCUGGGAAACUAAUUCUCAUCCUUGGUUACCUAGCUGAUGGUUAAUUGUGCUAUUCCCAAAUAAACAUUUUAUUGCUGACAUGAACAAAUACUCUCAAUCUUGAAAUCAAAUGACUCACAUAUAGGCUUAGAUCCAUUUAGUUCAUCCAAGCAAAAACAAAUCCCAUUAAAGCAAAGUCUGUAAGGGAAUGCUGCUGAGACUGGUUUUGCCCACCCCUGUUCAAGAAUGUUGAUUAAAAUAGGCUAGAUUUGUUUAUCCGAGGCUUUAACGUAUAAUAUUUUUAAAAAGAAGUGUAUCAUACAAUGGCAUUCAUGUUGACUCUGCUACCAUAAUUUACGUAGAACAGAAAAUAAGUGACAUUCAGUAAAACUUUUAUAUUACUUUUUAUCAUUAGGGAAUAAUUAAAAGACUAAGUUGUUCUGGGGUUCACAUUGCACUCUUUUUGUCUUUUCCAUGUUCUUCUAGCACUUUAACAUGCAUCCUUUACAGUUCUUUCAGCCAUGCUCUGCUACUUUGGAAUGUAACUCUAUUACUUUCUUGUAUAAGAAAUCUUGAUAUUAAUUGUCUAGUUGGAUCUACUCCUUAGGGUGUGUACUGUAAUCAUGUCUUUCGACCAUUUUAUUCAUGCAGUCAAGAAAGGACAUUUUAUUUUACUGCCUUUGGAAAGGGCAGUAUUUUGGGGCAAAAGCUGAAUAUAGUUCUUCAUGGAACUGAAAUGUGAGUACAAAAAUACUAGUGAAGUAAAUAUUGCCUUGGCAGCUCAGGCUUAUCUAGUUUAACCAUGUUAUGUUCAUUGUAUUGUAGAUUACAUAUACAUUCCAAAAACAGGAAAUUCAAUUUGUGCUUGCAAAGAACAUCUCAAAGUAGAUGGAGGAAGAGCAAGAGCGAAGGGGGCUGGUUUACUAGUAUACCAGAGCCAGGACUUGGACUUUUGUGCUGCAGUUAGUUGACUGUAGGUAACUGAAACCUACGCUGGAGAAACUGCAG
rnacentral:lncRNA from 10 species